AUGCUGUGAGCUCGAUGAGUAGGGCGGGACACGUGGUAUCCUGUCUGAAUAUGGGGGGACCAUCCUCCAAGGCUAAAUACUCCUGACUGACCGAUAGUGAACCAGUACCGUGAGGGAAAGGCGAAAAGAACCCCGGCGAGGGGAGUGAAAAAGAACCUGAAACCGUGUACGUACAAGCAGUGGGAGCACAGAGCAAUCUGUGUGACUGCGUACCUUUUGUAUAAUGGGUCAGCGACUUAUAUUCUGUAGCAAGGUUAACCGAAUAGGGGAGCCGAAGGGAAACCGAGUCUUAACUGGGCGUUAAGUUGCAGGGUAUAGACCCGAAACCCGGUGAUCUAGCCAUGGGCAGGUUGAAGGUUGGGUAACACUAACUGGAGGACCGAACCGACUAAUGUUGAAAAAUUAGCGGAUGACUUGUGGCUGGGGGUGAAAGGCCAAUCAAACCGGGAGAUAGCUGGUUCUCCCCGAAAGCUAUUUAGGUAGCGCCUCGUGAAUUCAUCUCCGGGGGUAGAGCACUGUUUCGGCAAGGGGGUCAUCCCGACUUACCAACCCGAUGCAAACUGCGAAUACCGGAGAAUGUUAUCACGGGAGACACACGGCGGGUGCUAACGUCCGUCGUGAAGAGGGAAACAACCCAGACCGCCAGCUAAGGUCCCAAAGUCAUGGUUAAGUGGGAAACGAUGUGGGAAGGCCCAGACAGCCAGGAUGUUGGCUUAGAAGCAGCCAUCAUUUAAAGAAAGCGUAAUAGCUCACUGGUCGAGUCGGCCUGCGCGGAAGAUGUAACGGGGCUAAACCAUGCACCGAAGCUGCGGCAGCGACACUGUGUGUUGUUGGGUAGGGGAGCGU
rnacentral:rRNA from 1 species